rnacentral:lncRNA from 1 species
UCUAUAAACCAACACCUAUUAGAGCUGAUAGAACCCUUAGAUAGUGAGGCCUGGUGGAAGGAAAAUAAGUAAGUCCUCGCAGGCUGUUUCUAUCCUUGAAGGGUAUGUAGGGACCCCAGCCCCUCUUCCAUCUUCCCCUUCUUGGCCGACAUGGGAUGAGCCACUUUGCUCCAACCAUGUUGUACUGCCUUGCUUCCUAAGCUGAGAAGCAAAGGGGAGAAGUCACCAUGGACUGAAACCAUGAAGAAAACAUACUUCCCCACAUAAACAAAUGAUCUGGAAUGUUUCCAACAGUAACAGGAGGCCAAUGAGCACAGCCACCCCAUUUCCAGGAAAUUUGAUACGCCUCUCCUGCUUCUUUUCACCGGACCAGCCG